AGCGAACGCUGGCGGCAGGCCUAACACAUGCAAGUCGAGCGCCCCGCAAGGGGAGCGGCAGACGGGAGAGUAACACGUGGGAACGUACCCUUCAGUUCGGAACAACCAAGGGAAACUUUGGCUAAUACCGAAUACGUCCGUAAGGAGAAAGAUUUAUCGCUGAAGGAUCGGCCCGCGUCUGAUUAGCUAGUUGGUGGGGUAACGGCCCACCAAGGCGACGAUCAGUAGCUGGUCUGAGAGGAUGAUCAGCCUCACUGGGACUGAGACACGGCCCAGACUCCUACGGGAGGCAGCAGUGGGGAAUAUCGGACAAUGGGCGCAAGCCUGAUCCAGCCAUGCCGCGUGGAUGAUGAAGGCCCUAGGGUUGUAAAGUCCUUUCGGCGGGGAAGAUAAUGACGGUACCCGCAGAAGAAGCCCCGGCUAACUUCGUGCCAGCCGCCGCUGUAAAAC
rnacentral:rRNA from 1 species